UACUCCUACGGGACGCAGCAGUGAGGAAUAUUGGUCAAUGGGCGGAAGCCUGAACCAGCCAAGUCGCGUGAGGGAAGAAGGCCCUGCGGGUCGCAGACCUCUUUGGACGGGGAGCAAGGCCGCCGACGUGUCGGCGGAAGGAGAGUACCCGUAGAACAAGCAUCGGCUAACUCCGUGCCAGCAGCCGCGGUAAUACGGAGGAUGCGAGCGUUAUCCGGAUUUAUUGGGCGUAAAGCGAGUGCAGGCGG
rnacentral:rRNA from 1 species